ACAAGCAGCGGAGCGUGUGGUUUAAUUCGUUGCUACACGAAGAACCUUACCUGGGUUUGACAUAUAGGUUGUAGGGAACUGAAAGGGACCGACCCUUCGGGGAGCCUAUACAGGUGUUGCAUGGCUGUCGUCAGCUCGUGUCGUGAGAUGUUCGGUUAAGUCCGCUAACGAGCGCAACCCUCGUCGUAUGUUAUAUGUGUCAUACGAGACUGCCGGUAAAAGCCGGAGGAAGGUGAGGAUGAUGUCAAGUCAGCAUGACCUUUAUAUCCAGGGCUACACACACGCUACAAUGGUCUGUACAAUGGGUAGCCAAGCCGCGAGGCGGAGCCAAUCCUGAAAGCAGGCCUCAGUUCAGAUUGCAGUCUGCAACUCGACUGCAUGGAGCCGGAGUUGCUAGUAACCGCAGGUCAGCAAUACUGCGGUGAAUACGUUCCCGGGUCUU
rnacentral:rRNA from 1 species